rnacentral:sRNA from 2 species
GACCACUUCCGCAGCAGGAUCGCGGGAGUCAAGGCCGGACGGACAGCCGGGUCCACUGCCGA